rnacentral:rRNA from 1 species
GUCUACGGCCAUACCACCCUGAAUGCGCCCAAUCUCGUCUGACCUUGCAAGCUAAGCAGGGUCGGGCCUGGUUAGUACUUGGAUGGGAGAAUAAAGACAGAUGUAGCCC